rnacentral:rRNA from 1 species
AGAGUUUGAUCAUGGCUCAGAACGAACGUUGGCGGCGUGGAUUAGGCAUGCAAGUCGGGGGUGCCAGCAAUGGCAACCGGCGUAAGGGGCAGUAAUGUGUGGGUACCUACCUCGGGGUCCGAGAUAGCCAUCAGAGAUGGUGGGUAAUACCGGAUGACCUCGUGAGAGCAAAGAUUUAUCGCCCGGAGAGGGGCCCACAUGAUAUUAGCUAGUUGGCGGGGUAAUGGCCCACCAAGGCUUAGAUGUCUAGCGGGUGUGAGAGCACGACCCGCGCCACUCGCACUGAGACACUGGCGAGACACCUACGGGUGGCUGCAGUCGAGGAUCUUCGGCAAUGGGGGCAACCCUGACCGAGCGACGCCGCGUGUGCGACGAAGGCCUUCGGGUUGUAAAGCACUGUCGAGGGGGAGAAAAGCCCGCAAGGGUGUGAUCUUCCCUGAGAG